CAGGGGAUAGUUUAAUUUGAAAAUACUAGCUUUGGAGGUUGGUGAUAAAUUUUUAUUUUUCCCUGA
rnacentral:tRNA from 1 species